rnacentral:misc_RNA from 1 species
AAGUCGUAACAAGGUUUCCGUAGGUGAACCUGCGGAAGGAUCAUUAAAGAAUAACCUUAUGGGUUUUCUAAUCCAUAUCCCACCUCUUUGUGCAACGUUUACUGUUUGUUCCCUCCUGGUGUAAACUGCUUUUCGCUUGAGAUGGAGAUUGAUGCAUUGGAUCAUUGUGGUCCACUGCUCACAAUCUGUUUCGCGAAAAAGUGUUUUACAACAAAACCCCGGGAGGAAACGUAUACUACAAACCUGUUAAUUUUGUGCUGUCUUAAGAUUGUAUGCUGAAAAGCAAAAAUAUCUAAAAUAAAAAAACAACUUUCAACAACGGAUCUCUAGGCUCCCA